AAUUUGAUCGCAUAAAAAUAUAUAAUAUUCGAAGAUUUUCUAAAUUAAUAGAUUUAGCGUGCUAAAGACUAUACUAAAAAGACGUGUACACGUUCAGAAACGUGAUUUCUAGUUUAUUAAACCUACGGUAUAUAAAUGAAAGCUUCUCGAAGCCAACCAGAGUUCUCUCUCUGUUUUUUCAAGAUAUUUUUUUCAGGUUCAUCGUGGAUCAUCGGUGCAUCGUUGUCCUUCGACAUAGUCUAGGACUGGAGAACGUACGUACAUAAGUGCAUCCGCGAGAAGGAACGAGCUUCGCCGUUUUCUCCCUGAUUUCUUUCGAGCAACCUUUACGAAGUGGCUCGUAAAAGAAAUCCUUGGCAAAUUGGGCCACGCGACGGGCCCAAAUUGUUCUCGUGUUUCGACUCGGUGUUUCGGCUGGCCGUGUUUCGACGACCACGAAAAUCACGCGAGAUUUAUUCCCCUUCCUCAUUCCUCUUUCGGCAGGGUCUGGCGUUAGUUUUGACAGGACUGCGAGAAAAUUUAUCGAGGAGAGUGUAAAGACGGUGGCAGCUUACGACCCGACAAUGUUUUCAGCUAUUAGACGAAACAAGUCCGCUGCUCUUUUACGAGCAGUUGCGGUGACCCACAACGCCUCGUCCACCUCGAGCCACUACCAUUUUUCGAUCGUAAAUUCUAUCGUACGUGUACUACAUGUACAUACAUCGAACUGACCACCCGCGUGCGACCGGAUCGAAGAGAACUUGGCCACGAGUGGACCAGCGGAAAGAGAGAUGAAAGGGAGAGGAACGAUGACGACGAAGAAGAAGAAGAAGGAGAAGAAGAAAAGGAACCGUAGGAGGAAGUUUUUGCUCGGUGUUGCACAUGUGGCCAGCGGCGAUUCGGCUGUGAUAAAAGCUCGGGCCCGUUGCUCGUGCCUCGCGGCCUCGCGGGACGACCAACGACGCCGCGCCGGCCCCCGAGAUACAACAGCGGCUCGAACAGCGGCCGGGAUCGAGAAAAGGCCUUCUUCGGCAAGUUGAGCGAAUCGCGUGUGCGAUGGUGCGCACAUCCGCGCCACGAAAGAACGAGACACAGUGCCCGGAGUCCAGAGGAUCGAGGAGCGUGUGUCGCGCGUUACGCACGUGCGCCACCCUUCUUCGAUCCUUCUUCGAGCCGGUUGCCUCGAUUCACCGCCUUUUACAGGCCUCCCUGGUCAUCGAAUUAAGACGACGAAAGUCGGCGACUUUCAACGUCAUUUUAUUUUUCGGGAUAUUCAGAGACAUCGGAGGAUUCUAAUCACGAAGCAAUAUCAAUCAAAGACGAGUUGAUUCGUCUGAAUUUUCUCGGUUCAUUUAUGUAUCUUUGUAUUUUUAUUAGAAUUAUAUUGAAUUAUAUUGUAUUUUAGCGGGGAGUGGGAGGAUUUGUAAAAAUUAAAACUGACCUAAUCCCUUUGCUUUAAAAAGUAGUUCGUUCUCUUUACCUCGAUAUCUCUUUGUCGAUGGUGUGCAUUCACAUACUGCAUCGAAUGAUGGACCGCGCGAACAAAUGAUCCCGCGUUAUAAAUUACGAUAAUGGCCGAAGACGUUACAAUCAGAGUAGUAAUUAGUCUCAGUCGGCACCGAUCGAACAGUUUAUCGUUCCACAGCUAUCGUCGUGAGUUUCUUCUUCUUCUUUUUUCUUUUCUUUUUUUUUCAUCGUAAUUCACAAUAGAAAACUGACAAUUUCUCAUCGAUUCUAGAAUCAUAAACAAUCGUGUUCAUGACUUUCUUUUUAGUAUACGAUUCUUUUUUAUUUUACCAUAUAAAAAAAGAAGCUUCUAUGCAAAGCUGUGCUCGUAAUCACUUACGUACGAUUAUGCUGUCUUCUUGCAAUAAAUACAUUUCUGAAAAUAAAUCCUUUGGUUUAUUAACCCUCACGAACGAGAUAGCUUCACAUCAGCUUGUAUUAUAAGCACAGCGAUGAUCAAGUCAAACUUCGUCCAGUAUUUCCCUUUCCACGUGCCCUGAAAACAAAUUUUCGUGUUAGAUUUUUCUUUUAUCGAAUAUACGAAUGUACUAUUAAUAUUUCCAGUAAUUUUCUUUUCUAUACUCAAAUUGCCUCUGUCGUGACUAUCGUGCAACGAUUAAUUACAUAAGCAUCUGGGCAAUGAAAUUUGAAACACAAGAAAAAGCUUGACUCCUCUCGAGAGUCUCGAUUAAUACCUUGUCUAUCGUCUUACUCGCAAUUUGGUCCGAGUCGCUUUGAUAAAUAAGUCAACCUCCGUACAAGAAACAAAAGCAAAAGAUAAGGGGAAGGGAAGAUAAAGAAUAUGAAGGCCUUGGGAACGAAGAAAGACACCGACCGACCUAAGGAGGAGGACGACGAAGGGUCUCUGAACGGUAUAUCUAUGAUCGGACGUUGGACGAGAGAGGACUAAACGUCGCGUCGGCAGCGCGAAUUCAACGCGAAAAACGUACAAACAGACAGGGAUUCUUUCCGAGAAGCUAGCGGCUGUCUCGUAUCUCGAAUCACUCUCUGCCAAAUGCCAAUUAUCAUGAGCCGCCGCUAGCAAUUAACAGGCAACAGGCAUCGGCGAACUGUUAUAUUCCUUCUUGGCCUCGUCGGAAAAGGGGAAACAGCCCUCGACCAGCUUGCAGCUCAUUCCAUUCGUUCGUAUUUUCGCUUAACGCCUCGCGCUUGGCACAUAUCUCAGAUAAGAAACUUCGGAUCGGAUAUAUAAUCGCACAUUGUGGCACACGAAAGUACUCGAACACUUUUCGUGGAAAAUCUCUACACGACUGGUGUGUAAUACGUAUUGAUUUUCAACUUUCACCGACCGGAGAAGGUUGUGAUGGAAUUUAGGUUUCUUUCUCCACCGAGAUCUAUUUGUAUGUGCUGUAAAUCAGUCUUUUUCAGAGUUCAUUUUUACGAGUUGCAGUAAAAAUAAUCUUAAGUGGUCGACACGACUCUGCUUCGUACGGCUACUCCUCCAGUUUCAGGUACUAUUACAUUUCCAGAAGAAGCAAAGAGUUAUCGAGAAUUGACGCGUGAAUUUGAAGAAGCAGAGUUAGAAAAAUAUCGAUGCAAGCAUCCAAACUUUUCUAAAUUUAAUGCAUUUAAAAGAACGUAAAUAUGGAAAUUUAAUUAGAGCUGAAAGUUUAACUCUGUCAUAUGUCGAGAAUAAUGAUCGAAUCUCCUUGAUUCUUCUUAAAAAGGAAAAGAAAAAUUGAUGUCUCGUUUUCGUUAUCUAAUCUAAUUUAAUUGCCACGUUCCUUUCUGUCACAGAUGAAUAUGAGCAGAGAGAAAAUCAUGGGAGGAUCGACGGUACUUAAGAAGUUUCUCCAAUCAAUCGACGUUAGAGAUAACGUUGGUCAUUCCAUUAAUUCGCAAUUUUUUCAUAAAUAAUUUUAUGCAACGUUACGUUGCACCGAUAAUAUUUUCUUGUGGGAAUAGCAAUUAGUUUUUUUUCAAAGUAUAUGCAAUUUUAAUGUAAUAUAUGAUACGAUGAUU